AACGUAGGUGGCGAGCGUUAUCCGGAUUUACUGGGCGUAAAGGGUGUGCAGGCGGGCUGUUAAGUGGGGUGUGAAAUCGCCGGGCUCAACCGGGCGAGGUUAUGCCAGACUGGCAGUCUAGAGAGCGAGAGAGGGACGUGGAAUUCCGGGUGUAGUGGUGAAAUGCGUAGAGAUCCGGAGGAACCCCAGAGGCGAAGGCGGCGUCCUGGCUCGCAUCUGACGCUCAGACACGACAGCAUGGGGAGCGAACGGG
rnacentral:rRNA from 1 species